CCUACGGGGCGCAGCCGUGGGGGAUAUUGGACAAUGGGGGGAACCCUGAUCCAGCGACGCCGCGUGCGUGCAGAAGUAUCUCGGUAUGUAAAGCUCUCUCCGCAGGGAAGAAAGAAAUGACGGUACCUGAGUAAGAAGCCCCGGCUAACUACGUGCCAGCAGCCGCGGUAAUACGUCGGGGGCAAGCGUUAUCCGGAAUUACUGGGUGUAAAGGGAGCGUCGACGGUGAAGUAAGUCUGGAGUGCACGGCGGGGGCCCAACCCCCGG
rnacentral:rRNA from 1 species